GCUUCAUGGCAGGCUUGGUAUCACUGGUGCUGUCCUCAAGCUCCCUUGAAGCCAGGAGAACAAGCACUGAGAGGGGAACCUGCUAUCAGUAAUGUAAGGCAGCUCAGAGCCCCUCUGUUUUUCCAGUUUCCAAUGUUUCUGAAACUGGCAGAGGAGGAAGUUGUUUCCUGGAUUGUUUUAGUACAAACCUGAUCACUUUGAUACAAACCUCUCCAUUCUGAUCAGAGCAACUCCUGAAAUUACAACAUCUAGCUUUAGGGACAGGGUAUGGGUGCAAGAACACACAUCUGGGCACAUGGUGGGUGGUUUUGAGCAGGUUUCAGCAUCAGAUUACUGUGUCUUGGACCCCAAGCUCUUCCUUCACUAGAAAUUACAGCUUCAUUUACUUGAUUCCUGUAUGUGACACUGCAAACUCCUCCACAUGGAGGAUUUACUCAGCAGGUGUGUUAGCACUGCCCCCACCUUGCAAGAUUACCCAGCCCAAGCCCACAUACAGAAGCACUCAAAACUGAGAAUUGGUUUUCUAGGUACCAGUCUUGUGUUCAAGGAAAUAAAAUGCUGCUCUUCAAUUAAAAUACUUAUUUGGGGUGCCUACACAUUACCUGUAGGUUUUAAACAGAAGACUGUUAAGGCCCUGAGCAACUCAAUCUAACUUUGAACUGAUCCCAGCUUCAAACAUGACCUUGGACCAGGUACCCCACAAGGGUCCCUGUCAAUGUUUUUCCAGUAAACCUGUUCUGUGUUGUUUUUGCUGUUGUGCUGGAUUUUGGAGGAAACUUUUUUUUAACCUCCUGUGUUCUAUUUAAAAGCUCUGCCAAAGGAGCACCGAGGAGAGCAGCCCCAGCCGUGUGAGCAAAAGCUGGACUGGGACCUGCCUGCGCUGGGGUUUGUGCACAGGGUGACAUCAAAUCCAGCAGGGGGCUUCAGUCCCAGACUCCCCAGAGCUGGAGUGUGAAAGGCCUCUGUUGGUUUGUGUGGUGCUGACCCAGCGGCAGCGAGCAAAGGAGCACCAAGAGCAGUGACUGCAAGGGAGCCAUAAAGAAAAACUCCCUCAUCCCAAACCUUGAGGGACCAUCUCUCAUUCUGGCCAGAAGUACCUGAGCUAAGGAAGUCUUUUCUCCCUGGUACUGAAGUCUUUAGCCCAGAACUGUGAGCUUCUGUCCAGCAGAGGAGACUGGAAAAAAUUGCAUUCAAAUUUUUUCCUAGUUGUGCUGGCAUGUGCUCUCCUAGGCUGGCCUCUGGUCAGGGUUCAGAGGUAAAAAUGGCCUUAUUCCAGUGUUUAACUUAAAGAUGGCAAUCAUCUGUCAGAUGGCAUUAUUUGUGUGCAUUUCUUGAAGCCCUUCUGAGCAGAAGCUUGUGUGUCUUCCAGGACUGUGGCAGGGCCCAGGUUGUUACAUCUUGCUAAUUAACUGUUUGAUAAUUAUAAAUAUGACUUGCUCAUUAUUUGUACUAAGUCUGUUGUUCUAGUCUGAUGUUUAAUGUACACUGCCCUUAACACAAAAGAGACAGUUAAGAAUGAGUUGUUCUGAUGCUUUUAUGGCCUAUUUAUUUUAGUAAUGUGAAAUAAUUUUAUUUAUAAACCAGAGAAGAAUGCUGAUGAAGAAAUAAUUCUCUGGAUAGCUGACAUUGCCAAUUUAAAUGUCUUUAAAGCUUAAUCAAGAUUUAUUUUUGAAAAAUUUGAGAAUGGAUCAAUUCUAGGCAGUAUCCUGGUUUGCUGUGUAUAUGAACAGUAUUUGUUACCUAGAUAGUGCCUCACAGCCACUGUACUAUUUAACAUUUAAAUGUCUUUAAAGACCAGAUUCCAUUAAUUCUUUACAUUUCCCUGAAUUUCUCUGCAAUUCCCUGUUUGCCAGUCCUUUGCAGAGACAACUCCCUCAGCCUCUCAUGGAAACCAUGGCUUCUCCAGUGCAUGGGCUCCUCCACACAAUGCACACAUGCAGAGCCCUGUGUCCCUGCAGAGCUGCAGACAGAGCCAGGGGAAAUUACAGUCUCAUAGAGACUUAUCUCAUCAGUGCAAAAGAACUAUAACACAUUGCAGAAAGCUGAAAGCCACUCUUAGCACACCUAUACAUAAGAAACCUUAUGUGUAUUCUAUUCCUAGCACUCAGGACUGUUUUCCAGUUGUCACACACAGAGGUGCUGUGCAUACCCAGAGGUAGCAGAAGUAGUAUUCUUAAUUUGUUAUUGAUUACUUGAUGGCUCCCUAUUUAAUCAGUCAUGUAUUUGUCAGUGGAACAUAAUUGCUGAACACAAGUAGCUCUUCAGGGAAUAAACCAUAAUACCCCAAAAGGAA